rnacentral:rRNA from 1 species
ACCUACGGGGGGCAGCAGUGGGGAAUAUUGGGCAAUGGGCGCAAGCCUUACCCAGCAAUACCGCGUGAGUGAAGAAGGUCUUCGGAUUGUAAAGCUCUUUGAUCAGGGACGAACAGAUGACGGUACCUGAAGAACAAGCCCCGGCUAACUACGUGCCAGCAGCCGAGGUAAAACGUAGGGGGCGCGCGAUGUCCGGGAUGACUGGGCGUAGAGGGUGCGUCGGCGGCAUAAUAAGUUAGAAGUGAAAUACCCAGAGCGUAACUCG